rnacentral:snRNA from 1 species
AUACUUACCUCAUAGAGGAGACACCAUGAUCAUGAAGGGUGUUUUCCUGUGGUGAAGCUUAUCCAUCUCACUCCUGAGAUUUCCCCAAAUGUGGGAAACUUGACUACAUAAUAUUUGGUAGUGGGUGACUAUAGUUCUACUUUCCUG